UGGGGAAUAUUGGACAAUGGGCGCAAGCCUGAUCCAGCCAUGCCGCGUGAGUGACGAAGGCCUUAGGGUUGUAAAACUCUUUCGUCGGGGACGAUAAUGACGGUACCCGAAGAAGAAGCUCCGGCUAACUUCGUGCCAGCAGCCGCGGUAAUACGAAGGGAGCUAGCGUUGUUCGGAAUCACUGGGCGUAAAGCGCACGUAGGCGGAUAGUUAAGUCAGGGGUGAAAUCCUGGGGCUCAACCCCAGAACUGCCUUUGAUACUGGCUGUCUCGAGGUCGAGAGAGGUUGGUGGAAUUCCUAGUGUAGAGGUGAAAUUCGUAGAUAUUAGGAAGAACACCAGUGGCGAAGGCGACCACCUGGACUGAUACUGACACUGAGGUGCGAAAGCGUGGGGAGCAAACAGGAUUAGAUACCCCCGUAGUCCCUGAGCGGGCUGGCAAGGCGCAU
rnacentral:rRNA from 1 species